rnacentral:rRNA from 1 species
UGCAGUCGAACGGCAGCAUGAUCUAGCUUGCUAGAUUGAUGGCGAGUGGCGAACGGGUGAGUAAUACAUCGGAACGUGCCCUGUAGUGGGGGAUAACUAGUCGAAAGAUUAGCUAAUACCGCAUACGACCUGAGGGUGAAAGUGGGGGACCGCAAGGCCUCAUGCUAUAGGAGCGGCCGAUGUCUGAUUAGCUAGUUGGUGGGGUAAAGGCCCACCAAGGCGACGAUCAGUAGCUGGUCUGAGAGGACGAUCAGCCACACUGGGACUGAGACACGGCCCAGACUCCUACGGGAGGCAGCAGUGGGGAAUUUUGGACAAUGGGCGAAAGCCUGAUCCAGCAAUGCCGCGUGUGUGAAGAAGGCCUUCGGGUUGUAAAGCACUUUUGUCCGGAAAGAAAUGGCUCUGGUUAAUACCUGGGGUCGAUGACGGUACCGGAAGAAUAAGGACCGGCUAACUACGUGCCAGCAGCCGCGGUAAUAC